rnacentral:rRNA from 1 species
ACUCCUACGGGAGGCAGCAGUGGGGAAUAUUGCACAAUGGGCGCAAGCCUGAUGCAGCCAUGCCGCGUGUAUGAAGAAGGCCUUCGGGUUGUAAAGUACUUUCAGCAGUGAGGAAGGCGGGUACGUUAAUAGCGUGCUCGUUUGGACGUUAGCUGCAGAAGAAGCACCGGCUAACUCCGUGCCAGCAGCCGCGGUAAUACGGAGGGUGCGAGCGUUAAUCGGAAUUACUGGGCGUAAAGCGCAUGCAGGUGGUUUGUUAAGUCAGAUGUGAAAGCCCGGGGCUCAACCUCGGAAUAGCAUUUGAAACUGGCAGACUAGAGUACUGUAGAGGGGGUAGAAUUUCAGGUGUAGCGGUGAAAUGCGUAGAGAUCUGAAGGAAUACCGGUGGCGAAGGCGGCCCCUGCAGCAGAUACUGACACUCAGAUGCGAAAGCGUGGGGAGCAAACAGGAUUAGAUACCCUGGUAGACAUC